rnacentral:lncRNA from 1 species
AGAAUUUCAGGCUACAACGACGAGCUAUACCGACGGUCGGUGCAGAAAUGCAGCUAUAGGGUUAUAUAGUGACGGUCCCUCCUCGACCCUAAGUAAAAUAGCUGAAGAGCAGCCCACUAGCGAGGGUCACCGCUUGACCGCAGGUAUAAGGUAUGUUUUUGAGUAAUCUAUUCCGGUGUAAAGUCCAAUUUUUCACGAAGGUAUUCUACGUUCUCUCUCUCAUCUCCCAUUUUUCUCAUCUCCAAAUCUUAGAUCUUGCCCUUUCUUUCUUGCCAAAUUUCAUCUUCUUUUUCUUCAUCUACAGAUCUCAGAUCUUGCCCUUUCUUCAUUGCCAAAUUUCUUCUUCCCUUUCUUCAUCGCCAAAUUUUGUAGCCAAAUCUUCCUCGAAAAUCUCAGAGCUCAAACAUCCUUGUUCGAUCUCAAAGCUAGCAUUGCUCAUCUAGGGCACUCAAAUCUCAAAGCUCCACACGACUUGAAAUUCAUAUUUAUCUUUCUAAAAUUUCAGGUUUGAAAGUGUGACGACCAAUGACAUUGCCAGAUCCAUUGUCUUUUCGUUGAGAAAAAAAUUCCAAAUCCCCUGUCCUCGACUCUAUUUGUAUAAGUAGAAGGUAUGAAUAAUGUUAGAUUCAAUCAAAUGUAUAAUUCGUUUAAUUUUCUUGGUUUUGAUACAUUCAUGAGAUAGGUCGAUUUGAAUUUGGAUUUUUCUAGGUUAAAUUCAGUUUAUAGACAAUUUUAUGAUGAUUCUGUUUGAUUAAUUAUGUUAUGUUAUGUUUGGCAUUCUAGGGAGAGCUGUAUAUGUCUAUUUCACUUUUGGGCUUUCUUGGUUGUUCCAAAACCUUGUCAUUAUAAUCUUAAACAACUCUUUUGCAAAAAGAAGAAAUUUGAGGUAAUUAUGGAACUAUGUAAAUUUUACAUAAUUUGUAAAUUGUGGAAAUCAAUGGAGUAUCUGAAUUGGGAGAGAAAGAGUACUUUUUAUCUCCUUAUUGUCUUCUGUUGUUUUUUGUAGUGAAUCAUAUUAGUAAUAACUGUGUUUAAGAUCCUUAUAUGGCGACUACUCUUAUAAAGAAGAUAACUUGGGUCAUUUGAAAAUUUUACUAACAACUUUUAGCAGUGCCUUAGAACAUAAUCUUUUUAGGCGCAUUACAUAUGUUAAUCAAUUUGAGUUUUUCAUUUGUCUGCAUAUGGAGUCAAUUUUAGAUUGGGCAUGCCCCAUGUGACUUGGAAUUUGUACUUCUUAAAUUAAGAAUUACAAUUUCUCUCCUGAGGCCCAUGUAGCAUGGAGGGGCAGUAUAGGCAAUGCAUCUCUAUGGGGCCAGGAUUGUACAUUUAAUUUUACAGUAAAGCAUUUUUCUGUACUGUUUUACUUACACUUCUAUUAAAUUUGGAAAGCUCAAUAUACAGUCUUGCUUAGUGGAACUUUUGCUUUAUCACGACCAAUUGAGUGGAUACGGUAAAUGACAUUGCAAGGGUAUAAGUAAAAUUGUCAUUCCAUAGCUUAACCUUUUUGGGGAAAAAUUUGUCAUUCCAUUUUAAUACGUUCUUCAUAUUUUAUUUUUUGCUAUACUAUGAGGUUGUAUUUGAAUUCAUCAUUAGUUGUACUGCUAAUUUGUCUAGGGUAUAUUUCGAAUGUAUCAAGGUGCAAGUAAUCAUGAAGAGCUUCAUAAUUUGAUGAAAAUAGCAAUGAUGAUUCGUAGACUCAAAAAGGACAUUCUGGUUAAGCUAUCUGCAAGGCUUUAUCCCCUAUGUUUCACUAUGGUGCCUUCUUCUGGCUUUCUUACACAAUUUUUUUUCUUUCUUUUCUCUAUGGUGCAAUUUUGAGUGCAGGAAAUGUAAUUUACUUGGUGAAUGACUUGCAGACUUGUAGAUCUAAAAUGUGAAUCAAGAUAUUAUAUAAGGUAAACGCUUUACAAGAGUAAUAGUAAAUAUUUAUUCUUUAUUGCUGGAAGGAAUUUCUUCUAGAAAAUGGAUCUUUGUUAAAAUACAUCUAUUAUCCUGCUGCUUUAAGAAUGAAAAUAGCACUAUGAAGAUAUCAAACUUUUGAUCCGUUAGUCCUAUUUAUAUAUUUAUUUUGGCUUUUAGAUUUAUCAUGUUGGCUAUUUUUAUUUUCACUACUAGAAAAUCGACCUAUAGCGACGGUCUGGGCGGAACCGUAACUAUAGGAUAUUUUCACUUCUGUUAGGUUUUUGUUUGUUCUGUUACUUUUAUCUUAGGUGUUCUUAUUAUCUUUAUGUUUCUUCUUCUUUUUUUAACGCAACCAUGUUUUGGGCACAAAGAGAACUAUUAUCUUUAUGUUCCAGCUUAUAUACUCUAGUAUGUUGAAGAAGUUAAGUAAUUUCAUUGUUUCAUUUCUUUCUUCAAUUAUUUCUAGUUGGUUUUAGCCCCAUCUAAAAUUCCCUUUAUCUUUUGCAG